rnacentral:rRNA from 1 species
UACGUAGGGUGCGAGCGUUAAUCGGAAUUACUGGGCGUAAAGCGUGCGCAGGCGGUUUUGUAAGUCUGACGUGAAAUCCCCGGGCUUAACCUGGGAAUUGCGUUGGAGACUGCAAGGCUGGAGUCUGGCAGAGGGGGGUAGAAUUCCACGUGUAGCAGUGAAAUGCGUAGAGAUGUGGAGGAAUACCGAUGGCGAAGGCAGCCCCCUGGGAUAAUACUGACGCUCAUGCACGAAAGCGUGGGGAGCAAACAGG